GACGAACGCUGGCGGCGUGCUUAACACAUGCAAGUCGAACGAUGAUGCCCAGCUUGCUGGGUGGAUUAGUGGCGAACGGGUGAGUAACACGUGAGUAACCUGCCCCUGACUCUGGGAUAAGCGUUGGAAACGACGUCUAAUACUGGAUAUGACUACUGGUCGCAUGGCCUGGUGGUGGAAAGAUUUUUUGGUUGGGGAUGGACUCGCGGCCUAUCAGCUUGUUGGUGAGGUAAUGGCUCACCAAGGCGACGACGGGUAGCCGGCCUGAGAGGGUGACCGGCCACACUGGGACUGAGACACGGCCCAGACUCCUACGGGAGGCUGCAGUGGGGAAUAUUGCACAAUGGGCGAAAGCCUGAUGCAGCAACGCCGCGUGAGGGAUGACGGCCUUCGGGUUGUAAACCUCUUUUAGUAGGGAAGAAGCGAAAGUGACGGUACCUGCAGAAAAAGCACCGGCUAACUACGUGCCAGCCGCCGCAGUAA
rnacentral:rRNA from 1 species